rnacentral:piRNA from 2 species
CAUGUUAAGUAAGCCAGGUUCAGC